rfam:Myotis lucifugus cont2.15628, whole genome shotgun sequence.
UUGUGCAGUGCCCCACUCCAAAGGGUGCCAUUCAGGUACAAUAAUAUAUGAUUGGCACUUUUUUGAGUGUGGUAAUUCACAG